GGCUGGGUAGCUCAGCUGGUUAGAGCGCGGCAUUCAUAAUGCCGAGGUCGUGUGUUCAAGUCACACUCCAGCUACCA
rnacentral:tRNA from 1 species